GUUUUUAUUAUCACUUUUUAUGCAUUUAGCGUUGUUGCAAGAUCUGCGUCACCAAUGGACGGUGCAACGCCAGCAGAACUAUGGAUUUUCCUCUGUCGCAUGCGAUAUGACUAUUGAGCAAACCUUAAACAGAGAUUCAAAAACAACAGGAGGAAUGGUCGGAAUUACAUUAAACAGAGGUGCUAUGCAACGAUGGAUUCUAGCUCAAUCCGAUCGUUCUGCAAUCACAGGGAAUGUAUGAAAAUGGCCGGCACCGAUCCAAGUAAAAGGAAAAGAAAAGAACUGGACACUCCACAAAAAACUCGACAUGAGAAAGAUAUCUCCAACAUAGUAAACACGCUUCA